rnacentral:rRNA from 1 species
AGGAACCUGCCUCAAAGAGGGGGACAACAGUUGGAAACGACUGCUAAUACCGCAUAAGCCCACGGCUCGGCAUCGAGCAGAGGGAAAAGGAGUGAUCCGCUUUGAGAUGGCCUCGCGUCCGAUUAGCUAGUUGGUGAGGUAAUGGCCCACCAAGGCGACGAUCGGUAGCCGGACUGAGAGGUUGAACGGCCACAUUGGGACUGAGACACGGCCCAGACUCCUACGGGAGGCAGCAGUGGGGAAUAUUGCACAAUGGGGGAAACCCUGAUGCAGCGACGCCGCGUGGAGGAAGAAGGUCUUCGGAUUGUAAACUCCUGUUGUUGAGGAAGAUAAUGACGGUACUCAACAAGGAAGUGACGGCUAACUACGUGCCAGCAGCCGCGGUAAAACGUAGGUCACAAGCGUUGUCCGGAAUUACUGGGUGUAAAGGGAGCGCAGGCGGGAGAACAAGUUGGAAGUGAAAUCCAUGGGCUCAACCCAUGAACUGCUUUCAAAACUGUUUUUCUUGAGUAGUGCAGAGGUAGGCGGAAUUCCCGGUGUAGCGGUGGAAUGCGUAGAUAUCGGGAGGAACACCAGUGGCGAAGGCGGCCUACUGGGCACCAACUGACGCUGAGGNUCGCAAGUGUGGGUAGCAAACAGGAUUAGAUACCCUGGUAGUCCACACCGUAAACGAUGAUUACUAGGUGU